rnacentral:rRNA from 1 species
UACGUAGGGUGCGAGCGUUGUCCGGAAUUAUUGGGCGUAAAGAGCUUGUAGGCGGUUUGUCGCGUCUGCCGUGAAAAUUCGAGGCUCAACCUCGAACUUGCGGUGGGUACGGGCAGACUAGAGUGUGGUAGGGGAGACUGGAAUUCCUGGUGUAGCGGUGAAAUGCGCAGAUAUCAGGAGGAACACCGGUGGCGAAGGCGGGUCUCUGGGCAAUAACUGACGCUGAGGAGCGAAAGCGUGGGGAGCGAACAGG